GAUGAACGCUGGCGGCGUGCCUAAUACAUGCAAGUCGAGCGAAUGGAUUAAGAGCUUGCUCUAAUGAAGUUAGCGGCGGACGGGUGAGUAACACGUGGGUAACCUGCCCAUAAGACUGGGAUAACUCCGGGAAACCGGGGCUAAUACCGGAUAACAUUUUGAACCGCAGGGUUCGAAAUUGAAAGGCGGCUUCGGCUGUCACUUAUGGAUGGACCCGCGUCGCAUUAGCUAGUUGGUGAGGUAACGGCUCACCAAGGCAACGAUGCGUAGCCGACCUGAGAGGGUGAUUGGCCGCACUGGGACUGAGACACGGCCCAGACUCCUACGGGAGGCAGCAGUAGGGAAUCUUCCGCAAUGGACGAAAGUCUGACGGAGCAACGCCGCGUGAGUGAUGAAGGCUUUCGGGUCGUAAAACUCUGUUGUUAGGGAAGAACAAGUGCUAGUUGAAUAAGCUGACACCUUGACGGUACCUAACCAGAAAGCCACGGCUAACUACGUGCCAGCCGCCGCAGUAA
rnacentral:rRNA from 1 species